CCAAUAGCGUAUAUUAAAGUUGUUGCAGUUAAAAAGCUCGUAGUUGAAUUUCGGGAUCAAGGAAUCGGUCAUGCCUUGGUAUGUACUGGUUUUAUUGGUUCUCACCUUCUAAAGAACCAUGAUGUCAUUUAUUUGAUGUUAUGGGGAAUUAGGACUGUUACCUUGAAAAAAUUCGAGUGUUUAAAGCAAGCUUACGCUUGAAUACAUUAGCAUGGAAUAAUGAAAUAGGACAUCAGAUUCUAUUUUGUUGGUUUCUAGGAUCGAUGUAAUGAUUAAUAGGGAUAGUUGGGGGCAUUAGUAUUCAAUUGUCAGAGGUGAAAUUCUUGGAUUUAUUGAAGACUAACUACUGCGAAAGCAUUUGCCAAGGAUGUUUUCAUUAAUCAAGAACGAAAGUUAGAGGAUCGAAGACGAUCAGAUACCGUCGUAGUCUUAACCAUAAACUAUGCCGACUAGGGAUCGGAUGAUGUUAAUUUUUUAAUGACUCAUUCGGCACCUUGCG
rnacentral:rRNA from 1 species